rnacentral:pre_miRNA from 1 species
AUUUUUUUGUGUGUGGGUGGUGUUCAGCACCAGAGACAGGUCUGUUUGUGUUUGGGUGGUGUUCAGCACCAAGGACAAGUAUGAUUGAUC